rnacentral:rRNA from 1 species
GAUGAACGCUGGCGGCGUGCCUAAUACAUGCAAGUCGAGCGAACGGACGAGAAGCUUGCUUCUCUGAUGUUAGCGGCGGACGGGUGAGUAACACGUGGAUAACCUACCUAUAAGACUGGGAUAACUUCGGGAAACCGGAGCUAAUACCGGAUAAUAUUUUGAACCGCAUGGUUCAAAAGUGAAAGACGGUCUUGCUGUCACUUAUAGAUGGAUCCGCGCUGCAUUAGCUAGUUGGUAAGGUAACGGCUUACCAAGGCAACGAUGCAUAGCCGACCUGAGAGGGUGAUCGGCCACACUGGAACGUGGACACGGUCCAGACUCCUACGGGAGGCAGCAGUAGGGAAUCUUCCGCAAUGGGCGAAAGCCUGACGGAGCAACGCCGCGUGAGUGAUGAAGGUCUUCGGAUCGUAAAACUCUGUUAUUAGGGAAGAACAUAUGUGUAAGUAACUGUGCACAUCUUGACGGUACCUAAUCAGAAAGCCACGGCUAACUACGUG